rnacentral:rRNA from 1 species
ACUCCAUGAAGCUGGAUUCGCUAGUAAUCGCGCAUCAGCCACGGCGCGGUGAAUACGUUCCCGGGCCUUGUACACACCGCCCGUCAAGCCAUGGAAGCCGGGAGUGCCUGAAGUGCGUGACCGCAAGGAACGCCCUAGGGUAAAACCGGUGACUGGGGCUAAGUCGUAACAAGGUAAC